GGACGAACGCUGGCGGCGUGGAUUAGGCAUGCAAGUCGAACGGUAUGGUGCUUUCGGGCAUCAGAGAGUGGCGAACGGGUGAGUAACACGUAGGUAAUCUACCCUCAAGACGGGGACAACCCAGGGAAACUUGGGCUAAUACCGGAUGAUAGCAGCAGCGAUGUUGUUUAAAAGAUGGCUUUCGGGCUGUCGUUUGGGGAUGAGCCUGCGUCCUAUUAGCUAGUUGGUGUGGUAAAGGCACACCAAGGCGAUGAUAGGUAGGCGGCCUUAACGGGUGGUCGCCCACACUGGGAUUGAGAUACGGCCCAGACUCCUACGGGAGGCAGCAGUCGAGAAUAGUCUACAAUGGUCGGAAGACUGAUAGUGCGACGCCGCGUGAACGAGGAAGCCCUUCGGGGUGUAAAGUUCUUUUAUAUGUGAGCAGUGGGUUCUACGUUAAUAGCGUGGGAUCAGGGAUAUUAGCAUAUGAAUAAGCAACGGCUAACUCCGUGCCAGCAGCCGCGGUAACACGGGGGUUGCGAGCGUUGUCCGGAAUUACUAGGCGUAAAGGGCAGGUAGGCGGAUCUAUAAGUUUUUUGUCAAAUUCAACGGCUCACCCGUUGCGCGGCAGGAGAUACUGUAGAUCUGGAAUGCGGUUGGGGAAGACAGAAUUCCUGGUGUAGCGGUGGAAUGCGCAGAGAUCAGGAGGAAUACCUAAGGCGAAGGCAGUCUUCUAAGCCGUAAUUGACGCUAAACUGCGAAGGUGUGGGUAUCAAACAGGAUUAGAUAUCCUGGUAGUCCACACAGUAAACGAUAAUCACUGGGUGUCGGGUUCGUAGAGGAUUCGGUGCCGUAGCUAACGCGAUAAGUGAUUCGCCUGGGGAGUACGAUCGCAAGGUUG
rnacentral:rRNA from 1 species